UACGAAGGGGGCUAGCGUUGUUCGGAUUUACUGGGCGUAAAGCGCAUGUAGGCGGGCCGAUAAGUUGGGGGUGAAAUCCCGGAGCUCAACUCCGGAACUGCCUCCAAAACUAGCGGCCUGGAGCAGAAGAGAGGCGAGUGGAAUUCCGAGUGUAGAGGUGAAAUUCGUAGAUAUUCGGAGGAACACCAGUGGCGAAGGCGACGGGCUGGCUUCUUGCUGACGCUGAGAUGCGAAAGCGUGGGGAGCAAACAGG
rnacentral:rRNA from 1 species